CGCGGGAUUACUCCUACGGAGGCAGCAGUGGGGAAUAUUGGACAAUGGGCGAAAGCCUGAUCCAGCAAUGCCGCGUGAGUGAUGAAGGCCUUAGGGUUGUAAACUGCUUUUGAAUGGGAAUAAUAGUGUCGACGCGUUCGGCAUUUGAAGGUACCAUUAGAAUAAGCACCGGCUAACUCCGUGCCAGCAGCCGCGGUAAUAAUCACUAGU
rnacentral:rRNA from 1 species